rnacentral:lncRNA from 1 species
AGGAGAGGCGUUGUGGGGCAGGAGGGGACGUGGUCACGAAGGAGCAAACAUGGUGUGGCCUCGGAGAGAGGGGCAGGGCUCUGCCAGACCGUGAGGGCGCCGCCAGACCUGACAGGGGCGGACCCAAUAGAAAAGCGGGUGGAAGAGCACAGGGUAUUCUUCAUUGAUCUUACUCGAAGUUGAGAACAUGUAUUUUGACUCUGAGAAAUGAAUAGAAGAAGUUUGGUUCCUGUAAGCAAAUGUCUCAGAAGAAUCCUUCUUUGAAGCUGCCACAAAAGCAGAAGACAUUGCGUGACUGUGCAAGUACAAGAACUAAGAGAAACUCAUAAGCACUU